CCUACGGGAGGCAGCAGUAAGGAAUAUUGGUCAAUGGACGCAAGUCUGAACCAGCCAUGCCGCGUGAAGGAUUAAGGCCCUCUGGGUUGUAAACUUCUUUUAUAGGGGACGAAAAAAGGGCAUUCUUGCUCACUUGACGGUACCCUAGGAAUAAGCACCGGCUAACUCCGUGCCAGCAGCCGCGGUAAUACGGAGGGUGCAAGCGUUAUCCGGAUUUACUGGGUUUAAAGGGUGCGUAGGUGGGUUGGUAAGUCAGUGGUGAAAUCUUCGAGCUUAACUCGGAAACUGCCAUUGAUACUAUCAAUCUUGAAUCAUCUAGAGGUAAGCGGAAUAUGUCAUGUAGCGGUGAAAUGCUUAGAUAUGACAUAGAACACCAAUUGCGAAGGCAGCUUACUAUGGAUGCAUUGACACUGAGGCACGAAAGCGUGGGGAUCAAACAGGAUUAGAUACCCUGGUAGUCCACGCCCUAAACCGAUGGAUACUCGACAUUUGUGAUAUACAAUAAGUGUNUGAGAGAAGANAUAAGUAUACCACCUACGGAGUACGACCGACGAGUAGUAAACGUUAAAGUAAGUAGUAGACGNGAGAGAGACGACGACGACGACGACGGAGGGAGGAG
rnacentral:rRNA from 1 species